rnacentral:misc_RNA from 1 species
UCCGAGUUAUCCCCGGCAGUCUCCUAUGAGUCCCCGGCCGAACCGCUGGCAACAUAGGACAAGGGUUGCGCUCGUUGAUGGACUUAACCAAACAUCUCACGACACGAGCUGACGACGGCCAUGCAUCACCUGUCACUUGGUUCCAAAAGGCACUCACUUCUUUCAAAGUAAUUCCAAGGAUGUCAAACCCUGGUAAGGUUCUUCGCUUACCAUCGAAUUAAAGAACAUGCUCCACCGCUUGUGCGGGUCCCCGUCAAUUCCUUUAUGUUUUAGUCUUGCGACCGUACUCCACAGGCGGGGUGCUUAACGCGUUAGCUUCGCUACGGAAGGGGUCGAUACCUCCCACAGCUAGCACCCAUCGUUUACGGCGUGGACUAC